rnacentral:lncRNA from 1 species
AGAGGUUCUAAAUGUAGGUAGAAAGCAGCACAAGUGAAGGAGCAUUUAUUGAAACUGGGGUAUUUCACAGCCGGGUUGAUAUCGCACCUGAAUUUUAGAGAGAAGUUAGGUUUGAAACUGAUAAAAUGGGAAGAAAGCAAGUAGCUUAUCUAGGGCAGAAAACUUCUGGGGAGAUAACCAGCUCAGAAUUCCCAGCAGGUAUUACGGAAUGUGAGUCCUGGAGAAGUCAGCACACAGAUGGACAAUUGGGAAACUUUCUCUGUGAAGAAACGAAAAACGCUGUGCAUAAAUAAGACUGGUGAAGAUAACUGUGCUGGAAAAGAUAAACAAGUGCAGAAUAUUAGAGCAAAAACUGUGUUAGGGAGUAGGAAAAAGCUGAGAAGACAGCAGUAAAAGCAGGAGGAGUACAAGAGCACAUCGUGAGUGCAGGAUUUCCAGGAAGUGUUGACAGUGUUACAUGUUCCAGAGGAGAAAAAGAGGAGGAAUGGCAAAGGCUGAUUGACUUUGUCAGCUACUUACUUUAAAAAACAUUUGAGAAAGCCAGAAAGCAGAGAGGAUGAAGCUCCAGUGUCAUGAGAAUGGGAAGCAGAGGCAGCGGCAGCAUGCACAGACAUCCUUUGAAGGUUUGUUAUAAACACAGAAACUGAUGUCUGGGAAAAGAAAUUAUCUGGAACCGACCACACUCCCCCGACCACCCCACAACGAAGGAACAAAACCACGUGAGAAGCUUGCUCCCAGGACUUCAUGCAAGAAAAAGAAGUCCCAGGGAUGGGAGAAA